UAAUUUGAGAGUUUGAUUCUGGCUCAGAAUGAACGCUUAUGGCGUACUUAAGGCAUGCAAGUCGAACGAGAAAGUACCUUCGGGUAUGAGUAAAGUGGCGCACGGGUGAGUAACACUUAGCUAACGUACCUCUUCGCUGGGGAUAACCAAGGGAAACCUUGGCUAAUACCGAAUACUCCCAUUUUUACUACGGUUUAAAUGGGGAAAGCGUAUGCGUGAAGAGAGCGGGCUGAGUCCUAUUAGCUUGAUGGUGAGGUAAAGGCUUACCAUGGCAAUGAUAGGU
rnacentral:rRNA from 1 species